rnacentral:rRNA from 1 species
AGAGUUUGAUCAUGGCUCAGAUUGAACGCUGGCGGCAGGCCUAACACAUGCAAGUCGAGCGGUAGCACAGAGAGCUUGCUCUCGGGUGACGAGCGGCGGACGGGUGAGUAAUGUCUGGGAAACUGCCUGAUGGAGGGGGAUAACUACUGGAAACGGUAGCUAAUACCGCAUNGUCGCAAGACCAAAGUGGGGGACCUUCGGGCCUCAUGCCAUCAGAUGUGCCCAGAUGGGAUUAGCUAGUAGGUGGGGUAACGGCUCACCUAGGCGACGAUCCCUAGCUGGUCUGAGAGGAUGACCAGCCACACUGGAACUGAGACACGGUCCAGACUCCUACGGGAGGCAGCAGUGGGGAAUAUUGCACAAUGGGCGCAAGCCUGAUGCAGCCAUGCCGCGUGUGUGAAGAAGGCCUUCGGGUUGUAAAGCACUUUCAGCGGGGAGGAAGGCGAUAAGGUUAAUAACCUUGUCGAUUGACGUUACCCGCAGAAGAAGCACCGGCUAACUCCGUGCCAGCAGCCGCGGUAAUACGGAGGGUGCAAGCGUUAAUCGGAAUUACUGGGCGUAAAGCGCACGCAGGCGGUCUGUCAAGUCGGAUGUGAAAUCCCCGGGCUCAACCUGGGAACUGCAUUCGAAACUGGCAGGCUAGAGUCUUGUAGAGGGGGGUAGAAUUCCAGGUGUAGCGGUGAAAUGCGUAGAGAUCUGGAGGAAUACCGGUGGCGAAGGCGGCCCCCUGGACAAAGACUGACGCUCAGGUGCGAAAGCGUGGGGAGCAAACAGGAUUAGAUACCCUGGUAGUCCACGCCGUAAACGAUGUCGAUUUGGAGGUUGUGCCCUUGAGGCGUGGCUUCCGGAGCUAACGCGUUAAAUCGACCGCCUGGGGAGUACGGCCGCAAGGUUAAAACUCAAAUGAAUUGACGGGGGCCCGCACAAGCGGUGGAGCAUGUGGUUUAAUUCGAUGCAACGCGAAGAACCUUACCUGGUCUUGACAUCCACAGAACUUAGCAGAGAUGCUUUGGUGCCUUCGGGAACUGUGAGACAGGUGCUGCAUGGCUGUCGUCAGCUCGUGUUGUGAAAUGUUGGGUUAAGUCCCGCAACGAGCGCAACCCUUAUCCUUUGUUGCCAGCGGUUAGGCCGGGAACUCAAAGGAGACUGCCAGUGAUAAACUGGAGGAAGGUGGGGAUGACGUCAAGUCAUCAUGGCCCUUACGACCAGGGCUACACACGUGCUACAAUGGCAUAUACAAAGAGAAGCGACCUCGCGAGAGCAAGCGGACCUCAUAAAGUAUGUCGUAGUCCGGAUUGGAGUCUGCAACUCGACUCCAUGAAGUCGGAAUCGCUAGUAAUCGUAGAUCAGAAUGCUACGGUGAAUACGUUCCCGGGCCUUGUACACACCGCCCGUCACACCAUGGGAGUGGGUUGCAAAAGAAGUAGGUAGCUUAACCUUCGGGAGGGCGCUUACCACUUUGUGAUUCAUGACUGGGGUGAAGUCGUAACAAGGUAACCGUAGGGGAACCUGCGGUUGGAUCACCU